CUAACAAAGUCAUCCGUCUUUGAUUCUUAUCGGAUCAAAUUACGCCAUCCUAAACCCGAUAAGGAACUGCAACCUCACAGUCAGCAGAAACCCUGAGACGCAGUCCACCCAGACGCCUGUUCCCACUGAAUCGGCAUAUUGAAGAAAUAUAAAAGGAGGACAAAACAAAAGCAUGCAGCAUAAUUAAGGCAAUUAUCAUAGCAUUAUAUUAUAAUUAGAUAUCAAGUUAUUUUUGCCUAUAUUUUAUGUUCAUUUUAAGUUAAUGUAUCUUUUGUAAUUUUAAAAGUUAUAAAAAGUGUUUUUUAAAAAGUAAUUUGUGGAAGAAGUAAUCUAACAAUUGGAGCAGUCGUUGGUAGGAUCUGACAACGUCGCUAAAACACGAGUAUUCACUAGUGACGGUGGAAUCCUAUCCUUUAACAGAAAAAGAACCAAUCAAGAAUCCCGAAGAAUUGUGACUCCUCACUCACGACGAACUACGGAAGGAAUACCUGUUGAAGCCUCUGGUAGUUAAAUCGGCGUAGAGAACAAGACGAUCAGCUAGAUGAUUUCCUUACUGAUAUGUCAGUACAUGUUUGCAACGGAAUUUAAAGUCUAAAGGAAGCAUUCGUAUUCAAGGAAUUUGUCCAUAAAGAAGAAUAGUUAAAAUUCUAGUAGAUGGAGUGAUUAGAGUAAGAUUUUUUUAAACCCACGUAGGACACCCUGAUGAAUUAAGAAGCAAAAGGCUAUUAAAAUCGGAACAGAAGAUAAUUGUGGAUAAAUUUUAGGAGAAACUUAUCCAGGAUUAGAAGAAGAUGAUUUUGCAGUUGGGUAUAUGAAUGCUAUUAUAGAAAAAAAUUAAGAGAUUUUCCCAGAAGAUAAUCUGUAUAGAUGGAACUCAUGGAACAAAUAGGAGAAACUGGGACUUGAUAAUUGUGCUAAUAAGAGAUGAACAAAAUAUGGGUUUUCCAGUGGCAUUCUUACUAAGUAACAGAUUAGAUCAAUUAAUUCGAGAGGUUUUUUUAGGGCACUUAAAACUAGACUAGGGGAAGUACUUCAAGCUGAAUAUACAAUGAGUGAUGACGAUCCGAAAAUAUUACAAUGCAUGGAUAAUGGCUAUGGAUGCAGAACAUAAGCCAAGAAGAUUACUUUGUACCUGGCAUAUAGUGAACAAUUGGAACAUACAAGGAAGGUCUAAAAUCAAGAAGUUGGAAAAUAGACAGAUAAUAAAACAUGAAAUGAGGAAAAUUUUAAAGGAGACUGAUCCACAAAAAUUUAUACAGCUGAAAGAGAACUAUUUUAGGCAAUUAGAAGAAGAGGAGGAAACUAAUUUUCAGAAUUACCUGAAAAAGUACUAUUUCCAAAGUCAAGAGAGAAUAAUGAUGUGAGCGCAUUGUUAUAGAAUCAGUGCCGGAAUUAAUACAAAUAUGGCAAUUGAAAGCUUAAAUAAAGUUCUGAAGUACAACAAAAUGAAUGGAAAGCAGAAUAUUAUGAUUGAAAAACUGUUGGAUUUACUGGAUGAACUUAUUGAUGAAAGAAUGUGGAAAAGGAUAUAAACAUGGAAAGGCUAAAUGCAAAUAAUUAUCAGCACAAAAUAUGUCAGAGUGCACAUAAAAAAAAGCAGAAGAAAUGGUGGGUAAUAACGGUAAUGUAUCAUAUUCUGAAUUAGGACAUUUUAAGGUAAGGUCGUUUCGAUAAUCAUAAAUUGUAUUGUGUAAAUUAUAAUGAGGUUUAUGAUGAGGACUGUAGGGCAAUGUAUGGUGAGAAGUGUAAAAUAUGUAAACAUAUAUAUAUAAUUGUGAUUGUCCAGAAUAUACUGUUAAGAAUGCCAUGUGUAAGCAUAUACAUGCUGUAGCUUUAUUUGAGCAGAGGAGCGAAUAUGUUUCAGGUUUCAUGGAUGCAAUGCAAGAAGAUUAUAAUCUGUGUGUCAAUAAACCUCCAACAAGCAAGACAGUUUAUGAGGAUGAAGAAAAUCAUUUUCUUGACGAGACUGAAUGUGACAAUUGAUUUUGAAAGAAAGCGUGAGAUUUGUCUAGAACAGUUUUGCUUUGAAAUUCGUAAAUAUGGUGGUGGAUUGCGUGAAUAUGACUUAGAAAAAUGUAUGGGUGAUCUUAGAAAUUUUAUGCAAGCAGUAAAACAAAAAGAAAUGGUGAUGAGUAAAAAAAGAAAAAUAGAAAAGCAGCAGUAUUGUCUCACAAAAAACUGAAAUAAUUUAUUUAUAAUAAAAUGUUUAUAACUAUUUUAUUACUGCAUGACAUUGCUUUUGUGAGUGACCCAUUCUGGUAUUAUAUCUAAGUGGUGUUGGCUAUUUGUAUUCAUAUAAUUCGUUGGCUUAUGGUGAAGGAUACUUACAAAAUAUAUUUUUUAAUUUUGAUUUUACCUUUAUUAUAAUUAAAUAAUAUAUUAGUGUUUGUUUCCUA